AGUGAACGCUGGCGGUAGGCCUAACACAUGCAAGUCGAACGGCAGCACAGUAAGAGCUUGCUCUUACGGGUGGCGAGUGGCGGACGGGUGAGGAAUACAUCGGAAUCUACUUUUUCGUGGGGGAUGACGUGGGGAAACUUACGCUAAUACCGCAUACGACCUACGGGUGAAAGCAGGGGAUCUUCGGACCUUGCGCGAUUGAAUGAGCCGAUGUCGGAUUAGCUAGUUGGCGGGGUAAAGGCCCACCAAGGCGACGAUCCGUAGCUGGUCUGAGAGGAUGAUCAGCCACACUGGAACUGAGACACGGUCCAGACUCCUACGGGAGGCAGCAGUGGGGAAUAUUGGACAAUGGGCGCAAGCCUGAUCCAGCCAUACCGCGUGGGUGAAGAAGGCCUUCGGGUUGUAAAGCCCUUUUGUUGGGAAAGAAAAGCAGCAGGUUAAUACCCCGCUGUUCUGACGGUACCCAAAGAAUAAGCACCGGCUAACUUCGUG
rnacentral:rRNA from 1 species